UUACCUCGAUCUUAGGUUCGUAAUUCACCUCAAAACCUUCAAAUAUAUUCAAACCCCUGCUGUCCCAACUCUAAAAUGUGAUAUGCUACGCAAUCGAUAAAACAAAUUAUACCACGAUGAUGAGCCCAACGCGUAGAACAACUUUCGUCAAGGACUUACGUCGAGAAAAUCUAUAUUUCACUUAAUCCUAAAAAUGGGUUUCUAUGUUUUCUCUGUAAAUUUAGCUUAAAAUGAAGAAAAACUCGAAGAAGAAGAUAUAUACAACUUUCCACCGACCUAGGGCCCCACCUCACGUGCCUGCUUGCGCAGUCCCACGAAAAUGCGAAUAUCUCUCUAUUCUGAAGUCGUAUGAAUGAACGGUUUGAUGCGUUGGAAACUAGACUCGUAGACCUUCGAUUCGAU
rnacentral:lncRNA from 1 species